rnacentral:hammerhead_ribozyme from 1 species
AGUCAGCUGAGGAGUCCCACAAUAGGACGAAACGGCCGUUCAGU